rnacentral:rRNA from 1 species
ACGAACGCUGGCGGCAUGCCUAACACAUGCAAGUCGAACGAGACCUUCGGGUCUAGUGGCGCACGGGUGCGUAACGCGUGGAAACCUGCCCUUAGGUUCGGAAUAACUCCCCGAAAGGGGUGCUAAUACCGGAUAAUGUCUUCGGACCAAAGAUUUAUCGCCUUUGGAUGGGCCCGCGUUGGAUUAGCUAGUUGGUAGGGUAAAAGCCUACCAAGGCGACGAUCCAUAGCUGGUCUGAGAGGAUGAUCAGCCACACUGGGACUGAGACACGGCCCAGACUCCUACGGGAGGCAGCAGUGGGGAAUAUUGGACAAUGGGCGAAAGCCUGAUCCAGCAAUGCCGCGUGAGUGAUGAAGGCCUUAGGGUUGUAAAGCUCUUUUACCCGGGAUGAUAAUGACAGUACCGGGAGAAUAAGCGCCGGCUAACUCCGUG